rnacentral:rRNA from 1 species
UGGGGAAUAUUGCACAAUGGGCGCAAGCCUGAUGCAGCCAUGCCGCGUGUAUGAAGAAGGCCUUCGGGUUGUAAAGUACUUUCAGCGAGGAGGAAGGCGUUGUGGUUAAUAACCGCAACGAUUGACGUUACUCGCAGAAGAAGCACCGGCUAACUCCGUGCCAGCAGCCGCGGUAAUACGAAGGGUGCAAGCGUUAAUCGGAAUUACUGGGCGUAAAGCGCACGCAGGCGGUCUGUCAAGUCGGAUGUGAAAUCCCCGGGCUCAACCUGGGAACUGCAUCCGAAACUGGCAGGCUAGAGUCUUGUAGAGGGGGGUAGAAUUCCAGGUGUAGCGGUGAAAUGCGUAGAGAUCUGGAGGAAUACCGGUGGCGAAGGCGGCCCCCUGGACAAAGACUGACGCUCAGGUGCGAAAGCGUGGGGAGCAAACA